UACGUAGGGACCAAGCGUUGUUCGGAUUUACUGGGCGUAAAGGGCGCGUAGGCGGCGCGGUAAGUCACUUGUGAAAUCUCUGAGCUUAACUCAGAACGGCCAAGUGAUACUGCAGUGCUAGAGUGUGGAAGGGGCAAUCGGAAUUCUUGGUGUAGCGGUGAAAUGCGUAGAUAUCAAGAGGAACACCUGAGGUGAAGACGGGUUGCUGGGCCAACACUGACGCUGAGGCACGAAAGCGUGGGUAGCAAACAGG
rnacentral:rRNA from 1 species